GUGGAGUCCUGUCUGCAACCUCUCCUGUCACAGCCUCUCCGGGCAGCACUCAUCAGGCAGCGCUGUCAGAUUUGCAGCCAGGCUUUGCUUGCCAUUGGAGAAGUGUGGUAAUGAAUUCCCUUUGGUCAGCGUCAUCUGCCACAGCAAACCAGACAGAUGGGGCCUGAGGGAAGCAUUUCCAUAAUGAAGCAGAGAGGCAGAGUACCUCCAUGGAUGGCAGGAGUUCCCCUCUAUUAACAGCAUUCUUAACAAACACUUUUGAUAAUCCUUUCCCACUAACUACUCUCCUUAGAAGUCUCUUCAUUCAAUUUUACUGCUUCUCCUUUUAGAGAGCUCCUUGAGCUUUCUUACAGCCCCAUUCAUGGGCUUUUAUUGUAUUUUAGUCCCUUAUGGACUCAUUUAUUGAUCUGCUGCAACUCCAAGUGGGCUAUUAACUGUGCAGUUAGUUAUCACAUACGUGAAACGCCAGUUGGAAAUGUUAAAUGUAGCCCCCUCCUUUAAACUCAGGGUGUUCUUUUCCCAUCAAAUUUGAAUGGAAACAAAGAUGUGUGUGAGGUACAGCAAAGGGAGCCAGAAGAAGGCAAGAGUGGGAGGAUCAUGCUAGUGGCUUUCCUGGAAAUUACUUUCCAAUGGCUCCUUGUCUGUCACUCGAAGCCCAAAGACUGAUGUACAACAUAAAUGUCUUUACUCAGGCAAUAUUCCAUGGCCACACACUGUCAGAAAUGUUCAGCACAGCAUGUUCUUACCUGUGGGCACACAUCCAUAUACACGGUCACAUCCAACUACCGGUGACAAGCCACACCACUGGGACAAGACAUCAGGCCUCUCGGCUUUCUUCAAGAAUCACAGCAUCAUAGAAUCAUACAAUUGUUUGAGUUGGAAGAGAUCCUUAAGGACCAUCUGAUCCAACUCUUCUUCAGUGAGCAGGGACACCCACAGCUCCACCAGGCAACCUGUGCCAGUGCCUCACCACCCUCAUUCUAAAAAACAUCUUCCUUAUAUCCAGUCUAAAUCUCUUUUAGUUGGAAACCAUUUCCUCUUGAACUAUCACAACAGACCCUGCUAAAGGGCCUGUCCCCUUCUUUCCUAUUGCCCCCUUUAGAUACUGAAAGGCCACUCUUAGGUCUCCAAGGAGCCCUCAGUUCUCCAGAAUACAGUCUCAGGAGGCUUCAGGAGCUGAGAUGGGCAGUAAAACAGCAGGUACUGUGAGCACUGAUAAGAGCAAAGAAGGCAGCAAC
ensembl:lncRNA